rnacentral:lncRNA from 1 species
GGGGGCGCGUCUCAAGGUCCUCCCUGCACAUCUGGCGCAAUGGGGAGCGUUCGCCUUUCUUUCCCGGGUUUUGUUCUCACAGCUGUGUCCAUUCCGCCCGUGACCCCGCGAGUGAUCCCUGACAGUCACCAUGUAACAAAUGCAGACAUCUCUGAGAUCACCAUGCAGUGAGGAAGUCUAAGCUGGUGGCAUGAAGAGGCCACAUGGAAAGGGCUAAAAAAGGGGCCAGCCUCAGUCAUCCCAGCUGAGCACCUGGCUGGGAAUAAAAGAGGACUCCGUGGAUGUCCAGCCCAGUAAGAUGACCUCAGCCCCAGCCACCAACUGACCAAGCACACAAGACAUCGUGAGGCUGCCUGCUGGAGCCUGGCCAGUGGGACUGUAGAGUAACUCAUUGUCGUGCAGGAACUCCUGGGAUGGUGUUGCCCAGUGACACAAUCCCAGUGUGGCCAUUUCUGAUCCCGAGAAAGCAGUCAGGAGUGGGUGGAUGCAGUUACAGUUCAUCAAGUCCUGCUAGUUCAAGUCAUGAGUCCUGAAUUCUCCAGGAGGAGCCACUAAAGAAAUGCAGAAGCAGGCAAUCCUUGCAAUAAGGCCAGCAAACUGCCAGUGUGAAGGAUGCCCAGGUAACCUGCCCAUGCCAGAACGGCCAGGAGAUGGUGGAACCAGAAUCUAAGCCCACGCCCAUCUGACCUCAAAGUCUGUGCUCCUGAGGUUCGCACCGAGUUGCCUCCUAAGACUUGCUGAAACUGGAUCACGUCCAUUUACCCAUCUCUGAGAGAAAUGCAAGCUUUAAAAAAGGAAAUAUUUACUAUGGAUAUUUUACAAUAGUUCCAAAACAUGAAAGUUUUAAAUAAGAUAUUCUUAACCAUCCUCACCACAUCUUCAGGUUCCCUUACAGCCACUGUGUUUUGACGAUUGCCCAUUAGAAAAAAAGACUAUGCUUUCUGUAGGUUUUAAAGGAAUGGUGGUGAAAUAAGGAGCAUUCCCUGAGCAGAUCUUGCCUGCGGGCACACCUCUGAGCAUUGGACCAGGCGAGAAGAGCCCAUGUGUUGGCUGCUUUGGGAUCCCAGCACUGCCAAUGGCAGGUGGGCUGUGGCCCAGGGAGAGAACCUAGCCUUUUGCAUUCUCUUGCCCCAUUUGAAAAUGGAGACGAUAGUGGCGCCCCGCUCAGUGUUAUUUUGAGGAUUUGAAUGUAUCUCAGAUGUAGUACCUGGAAAAAUAUAAGUGCUCAGUAAAUACGGUUGCCAGAUAAAAUGCAGGAAACCUAUUUAAAUUUAAGUUUUGGCUGGACAAUGAAUAGAAUAAUUUUUCUUAGUAUGAGUAUGUCCUUAUAUUUCAUCUGCUAAAUUUAGCAACCUCCUCAGUAAACGAUCACUACAAUUGCAGAAACGCCUUAUGACAGAUAUAGUAAAUCUGUAAAGAAAUAGGAACUUGCAUUUAUUUUUACUAAGCUCUGACUGGUUAAGAUAACUGGGCAAGAGAAGAUAUCUUCGACUAAACUUGCAGCACAUAGAGUAUAGAGAUUCAAAUUUGAAGUCCUAUAGGACUAGAAUGGCCAGAGGUGAACUGUAGCGAGCUUAUCUAAAGAGGACCAAUUUCAAAAGUUCCUCAGAGACUUAAAUGGGCCCACAGACCCCUCCUGUGUCUUUGCAUAAGCCAGCUCGUUAUAUCAGUUAUAAGUUGAUUUCCAGAGAAAUGUACCCUGGAGAUCCCUCUCCCACUUGAAAUAGGACUGGCCAAUCCAGAUGUCCCCCAGGUGAUGUUGGCUCAAAUGGAGCUCCAUAUAUUGGAGAAUCUAUUCAAGAAAACAAGCAAAAGUAUUUGUGACUGAGUUAGCUAAUGCCAGCUGGUAUCUUGAACAAACCCAGAUCUCUAACAUGCUAGUUUAUUUCGUAGUGUAAAAUGUGUGUUACUGAUGGGCAGACAGCUCUCAUUCAAGCAGUGACAGAUGUAAGCUCUUCCCAUUUUUGUGGCCCCAUUGUAUUCGGCGUGUGGCUUCCAAGUUGCCUGGGAUCAUCUCCACCCAGACUAAGGAAGAGGAAAGAGCUUGGACAACUGCACUUGGCUGGUUUUUAUGGAUCAGGCAAGGAAUUGGCUCCAACACAUUAGCUCACAUUCCAUUGGUUAGAACUGGGUUUCUCAACUAUUAGUACAGGGUGAGUGUAGGGUUUUGGCACCAUGGGCAUUUGAGCUGGCCAAAGGCUAAUCAGAGUUAGAACAAAGCCACAAAGCCUGUGAAUGGUGUUUAUUGUUGUGAGGAGCUGUCUUGUGCAUUGUGGAAUGUUCAGCAGGAUGCUCUCUGGCCUCAGAGACUCACUAGAUUCCCAUAGAACUCUCCUCUCUCCUCUAGUUGUGACAACCACAGUUGCCUCCUCUCCAGACAUUGCUAGAUGUCCCCGGGAGGCAAAAUUGUCCUGGUUGAGAACCACUGUGUUAGAACUCGGUCACAUGGCCAUACCUAACUGCAAGGGAGGGGGCUGGAAGAUCUAGACGAGUAGUAUGCCAGGAAGAAAAUAGAACUGAUUUAGAGGCUGCUGGCCAGUCACUUUCAGUGACCUUCAGCAUACUUAUUCCUCUGCAGCUGUCAGGACACUCAUGCCUGUUUCUGAGAUGUUUCCUGUGUGAGGGGACAUAGUGACUAUUGGAGGGGUGACAUGUUGGACUUGGGUAGGGUGAAGAGGAUUGGAAACCACCAUCAUGUUUGGCAGCAUUGAAUGUUUAUGACUAUUUGAAUAGUUGUGACAAGGGUACAGUGAAGGAGGAAGUAACCAUUUUUGAAUACCCUUUUACAAUUUGCAAAGCACUUUUAAAGGUAAGAGUGAGUUCCUAGACCAUAUUAGGGUGAGAAUGGACAUUGUUGGCUGCCAUAUCAUUGGGCAGGGGCUUUGAGAUUUUUGUCUUCAGAAGGCAGAUUAGAUUUGGAGUAGAAGGAGAAAUGUAAAGACCUGGUAUCUGAGUGUGUUUGCAGAGGGGAAUUGUCGUUUGGAAGCACAAGAAAGGGAAUGGCCCGUUGGCACAUAUGGUACAUUGUGUUUUCAUAUAAUUAUACCUGAAUGAAAGCAAGAGGAAACGUGUAGGAAGCUGUUUACAUAGUCCUUUUAAUAAUGUUUACAUGAGUUAAUGAACAUGCAAACGUAUCUGAUGAAAACAUGUCAGUAGUGAAACAGCCUUGUGAAGAAUCAGAUCUUACCUCAGGCUGGAAAAAAGGACUGGUUUUCCAAGCUCACAAAUUGCAGCCAGUGUGAAUAGUAGCACAAAUGACUGAGCUUUAAGACAUCCAUCCAUCCAUCUAUCCAUCCCCUCAUCCAUCCAUCCCCUCAUCCAUCCACCCAUCCAUCCAUCCCUUCAUCCAUCACUCCAUCCAGCCAUCCGUCCCUUCAUCAAUCCAUCCAUCCCUUCAUCCAUCCAUCCAUCCUUCCUUCCAUUCAUCCCUUCAUCCAUCCGUCCAUCCAUCCAUCCAUCCACUCAUUCAUCCCUUCAUCCAUCCAUCCAUCCAUCCUUCCUUCCUUCCAUUCAUCCCUUCAUCCAUCCGUCCAUCCAUCCAUCCACCCAUUCAUCCAUCCAUUCCUUCAUCAACUCAUCCCUUCAUCCAUCGUCUACCAUUCAUUCACCCCUUCAUCCAUCCAUUCAUUUAUCCAUCCGUCCAUUUACUUCCAUCCAUCCCUUUAUCCAUCCAUUCACCCAUUCAUCCCUUUAUCCAUAUGUCCAUUCCUCCAUCCAUCCAUCCAUCCAUUUACUCUUCAUCCCUUCAUCCAUUUUUCCAUCCAUUCAUCCAUUCAUCUUUUCAUCCAUCCAUCCAUUGAUCUAUCCAUCCAUCCAUUGCUCCAUCCAACCAUCCAUCCAUCCCUUCGUCCCUUCAUCCAUCCAUCCAUUCAUCCCAUCAUCCAUUGAUCACUUCAUCCAUCCAUCCUUCCAUCCUUCCAUCCAUUCUUCCAUUCAUCCAUCCAUGUGUUCAGCAAGUAUUUACUGAAUGCCUAUUAUGUGCCAAGCACUCUCCUCAGAACUUAGGAAAUACCAGGAAACAAAAUCAACAACAAUCCCUCACCACCUGGAUAUUACAUUUUGGUGGGAAGAGACAAAGAAAUAAAAUUGGUGAGUGAAUCACAUAGGUUAUUAGAAGGUGAUAAAGGUGUAGGUGAUAAAGGAGAAGUGCCAGGAGCAAGGAUUGGGUACAGUUGUGAAUAAGGUGGCCCCAAUAGGUUGCACUGAGAAGGUGACAUUUGCACAGAGACUUGAAGAAAGGAAGGAGAGAACAUGACUGUACCUGGGUAACAGCAUUUGUGGAAGAGGGAACAGCCAGUGUAAAAGUUCCAAGGCAUGAGUGCCUGGUACAUACAUGGAACAUCGAGGCCAGGGUGGCAGAAACGCGGUGAGUCCAGGAAGGGAAUAGGAACUAAGUGUAGGAAGGUGUACAGUGGGGUGGUGUGGGGGUGGAAUUGUGGCAGCCAGAUGGUGUUGGCCUAAGGCCUCUUGGCCCUUGUUAGGACUUGGUUUACCAUGGCGCAACACAUCCAUGAGAUUGGCAAAAAUUAAAAAGUCUGACAACAGAAAAUCUGGUAAUCUGGUGAGGAUGUGGAGCAGUGGGAAUUCUCCAAUACUGCCAGGGAGCAUGGGCAUCAAUCCCACCACACUGGAAUGCAAAGGGGCAUUCUGAGUAGAACUGAAGAUGUGCCCAUCCUUGACCCCACAGUUCCAGCCAUGGGCAUGCGCAUGAAUGUGCACACGUGUUGACUGCGGCAUUUGUUUGUCAUUAUGAAAACAUCUAAGUUUCCAUCUAUGGGAGAGGGGAUAAUGUGGGAGUGCCCAACAGUGGAGUUCUAGAGAGCAGUAAAAAUAAAUGGACUAGAGCUGCACACGUCAAAAUGGAUGAAGAUAAAAGACAUAAGGAUGGAAGAAGACCACCUGGCCACAGAAGUAUAUGUCCAAUAUGAUGCUGGUGUAUCCAGAGUGUUCAAACAAACAACACAACACUACUCAUUGUUUCCAACGUGAGUAUGAAAGUAUGGAGCAGUGCGGAGGGCCAGGAGUGCUGAAUCCACAUGGUUACUUCUCCAGGCGGGGGCCGAGGACCAGGGCUGGAGGUUUACUCCAGGAGCUUCAGUGGUGCAUGCUGAAUGUGCUGUUUCUUGGGCUGGGGGACAGAGAUGUGCAUGCUGUUAUACACUCUAUAUUGAAAUGAUUGUAUAACAAUAUAC